UACGGGGGGGGCAAGCGUUGUUCGGAAUUACUGGGCGUAAAGGGCUCGUAGGCGGCCAACUAAGUCGGAUGUGAAAUCCCCAGGCUUAACCUGGGAACUGCAUCCGAUACUGGAUGGCUUGAAUCCGGGAGAGGGAUGCGGAAUUCCAGGUGUAGCGGUGAAAUGCGUAGAUAUCCGGAGGAACAUCAGUGGCGAAGGCGGCUUCCUGGCCUAAGACUGACGCUGAGGUACGAAAGCGUGGGGAGCAAACAGG
rnacentral:rRNA from 1 species